rnacentral:misc_RNA from 1 species
UUAAGUUCAGCGGGUAUUCCUACCUGAUUCGAGGUCAACCACUAAAAAGAUGGGGUUUUCCGGCCGGGCAACGUCCCACACCCAGAACGAGGUAUAACUACUGCGUUCGGUUUUGGGGCGCCGCCGCCGCUUGCUUUGGGAGGCUGCGGUGCAGUCCUCCAACGCCAGGCAGGGCCUGAGGGUUGCAAUGACGCUCGAAC